GGAGAGGUGGCAGAGUGGCCGAAUGCAGCUUCCUGCUAAGAAGCUAGCCUGCCAAAAGUGGGCUCCUGGGUUCAAAUCCCAGCCUCUCCG
rnacentral:tRNA from 1 species